GAUAGCUCAGUUGGUUAGAGCAUAGUGCUAUUAACGCCAAGGUUGCAGGUUCGAUUCCUGUAUGGAACA